ACGAACGCUGGCGGCGUGCUUAACACAUGCAAGUCGAGCGGAAAGGCCCUGCUUGCAGGGUACUCGAGUGGCGAACGGGUGAGUAACACGUGGGUGAUCUGCCCUGCACUUCGGGAUAAGCCUGGGAAACUGGGUCUAAUACCGGAUAUGACCUUCCAUGUAGUGUGGGGGGUGGAAAGAUUUAUCGGUGUGGGAUGAGCCCGCGGCCUAUCAGCUUGUUGGUGGGGUAAUGGCCUACCAAGGCGUCGACGGGUAGCCGGCCUGAGAGGGUGGACGGCCACAUUGGGACUGAGAUACGGCCCAGACUCCUACGGGAGGCAGCAGUGGGGAAUAUUGCACAAUGGGCGGAAGCCUGAUGCAGCGACGCCGCGUGGGGGAUGACGGCCUUCGGGUUGUAAACCUCUUUCGACAGGGACGAAGCUUCGGUGACGGUACCUGUAUAAGAAGCACCGGCUAACUACGUG
rnacentral:rRNA from 1 species